UCCAAAUCCAUAUAAAAUUUCUCUCAGCAACAAAAAUGACUGAAAGUAAAAGAUAAAUGGGCUGGCAGAUGCAGUGUAAGGAUUAAAGCUACCCAAAGGCUAUUUAGGUCUUCCAUGGGUGCAGGAACUGGGCAAAGGCUCUCCAUGCAGCAAGGCCUGAGGAAGAGACCCUGAACAAGCAGGAGAAAGACUGCA